CCGCCUGGGGAGUNCGGUCGCAAGAUUAAAACUCAAAGGAAUAGGCGGGGACCCGCACAAGCGGUGGAGCAUGUGGUUUAAUUCGAAGAUACGCGAAGAACCUUACCCGGACUUGAUAUCUAACAAAUCAUCCAGAGAUGGAAGAGUGUCUGCUUGCAGAAAUGUCAAGACAGGUGCUGCACGGCNGUCGUCAGCUCGUGUCGUGAGAUGUUGGGUUAAGUCCCGCAACGAGCGCAACCCACGUCAUUAGUUGCUAACGGUUCGGCCGAGCACUCUAAUGAGACUGCCUUCGUAAGGAGGAGGAAGGUGUGGACGACGUCAAGUCAUCAUGGCCCUUAUGUCCGGGGCGACACACGUGCUACAAUGGCAUAUACAAUAAGACGCAAUAUCGUAAGAUAGAGCAAAUNUAAAAAAUAUGUCCCAGUUCGGAUUGGAGUNUGCAACUCGACUCCAUGAAGCCGGANUCG
rnacentral:rRNA from 1 species